rnacentral:rRNA from 1 species
CUCUGGUCUGUAACUGACGCUGAGGAGCGAAAGCGUGGGGAGCGAACAGGAUUAGAUACCCUGGUAGUCCACGCCGUAAACGAUGAGUGCUAAGUGUUAGGGGGUUUCCGCCCCUUAGUGCUGCAGCUAACGCAUUAAGCACUCCGCCUGGGGAGUACGGUCGCAAGACUGAAACUCAAAGGAAUUGACGGGGGCCCGCACAAGCGGUGGAGCAUGUGGUUUAAUUCGAAGCAACGCGAAGAACCUUACCAGGUCUUGACAUCCUCUGACAAUCCUAGAGAUAGGACGUCCCCUUCGGGGGCAGAGUGACAGGUGGUGCAUGGUUGUCGUCAGCUCGUGUCGUGAGAUGUUGGGUUAAGUCCCGCAACGAGCGCAACCCUUGAUCUUAGUUGCCAGCAUUCAGUUGGGCACUCUAAGGUGACUGCCGGUGACAAACCGGAGGAAGGUGGGGAUGACGUCAAAUCAUCAUGCCCCUUAUGACCUGGGCUACACACGUGCUACAAUGGACAGAACAAAGGGCAGCGAAACCGCGAGGUUAAGCCAAUCCCACAAAUCUGUUCUCAGUUCGGAUCGCAGUCUGCAACUCGACUGCGUGAA